CAACCCUCAAGCUCUGCUUGGUGUUGGGCCCCGUCCUCCACGGACGCGCCUUAAAGACCUCGGCGGUGGCGUCUUGCCUCAAGCGUAGUAGAAAACACCUCGCUUUGGAGCGCACGGCGUCGCCCGCCGGACGAACCUUUGAAUUAUUUCUCAA
rnacentral:misc_RNA from 1 species